rnacentral:rRNA from 1 species
GAUGAACGCUAGCGGCAGGCUUAACACAUGCAAGUCGAGGGGUAUAGUUCUUCGGAGCUAGAGACCGGCGCACGGGUGCGUAACGCGUAUGCAAUCUACCUUUUGCAGAGGGAUAGCCCAGAGAAAUUUGGAUUAAUACCUCAUAGUAUGUGAGAAUGGCAUCAUUUUCACAUUAAAGUCACAACGGCAAAAGAUGAGCAUGCGUCCCAUUAGCUUGUUGGUAAGGUAACGGCUUACCAAGGCAACGAUGGGUAGGGGUCCUGAGAGGGAGAUCCCCCACACUGGUACUGAGACACGGACCAGACUCCUACGGGAGGCCGCAGUGAGGAAUAUUGGACAAUGGGCGCAAGCCUGAUCCAGCCAUGCCGCGUGCAGGAUGACGGUCCUAUGGAUUGUAAACUGCUUUCGUACAGGAAGAAACACUGGUUCGUGAACCAGCUUGACGGUACUGUAAGAAUAAGGAUCGGCUAACUCCGUGCCAGCAGCCGCCGUAAGAC